rnacentral:rRNA from 1 species
UUUUAUGGAGAGUUUGAUCCUGGCUCAGGAUGAACGCUGGCGGCGUGCCUAAUACAUGCAAGUCGAGCGAACAGACGAGGAGCUUGCUCCUCUGACGUUAGCGGCGGACGGGUGAGUAACACGUGGAUAACCUACCUAUAAGACUGGGAUAACUUCGGGAAACCGGAGCUAAUACCGGAUAAUAUAUUGAACCGCAUGGUUCAAUAGUGAAAGACGGUUUUGCUGUCACUUAUAGAUGGAUCCGCGCCGCAUUAGCUAGUUGGUAAGGUAACGGCUUACCAAGGCAACGAUGCGUAGCCGACCUGAGAGGGUGAUCGGCCACACUGGAACUGAGACACGGUCCAGACUCCUACGGGAGGCAGCAGUAGGGAAUCUUCCGCAAUGGGCGAA